UCUCAGUUAGUAUAGUGGUCAGUAUCUCCGCCUGUCAAAGCUUGCUUGUUCAGCCCGCGGAAGACCCGGGUUCGAUUCCCGGACUGAGAG